rnacentral:lncRNA from 1 species
CUGGAACUCAUGCUGCAUUCUCAGCAAAGCCCCCGCAUCUUCCACCUCUUCCCUGAAUGUCCUUUCACCUUCUUGCUCCAACUGAAAACUGACUCUCCCUUAAGGAUGCCACUUCCUGGGCAACCCUCUCGAAUGUGGCUUGUUUUUUCACAGCUGCUGGACCUGGAGGGCACAGAUAUCCUCCUUGCUUGUUGCCUCUUCCUGGUCAUUCUUCUCUCCCCAAGCUUUGCAGCUCAUGCCAUCACACCAGACCAUUUUCCCCCAAGAGGAGUAGCCUAGAUAACUAGUUAAUACCUUCCUCUCUUGCUAACAUGCAUCCCAUGCUUGUCACUGUUGGCUGAAGACUGUGAGUCCAGUUUGACUGAGAAAAUAUCUACUCACCUAUCUUUUUGCUCUGUGCUAUUACUUUUGUGCUGUUACUAUGGAUAAACCAUUCCCGUUCUUUUCUAGGAUGGAUUUUUCCACUUUGUACUGAAUCCCACGUACUCUCAUCAUUCACAAACAUUGCUCAAGAAAUUGCUCCCUGUCUAUUGCUCCCCCUCCCCACACUUGGCUCUCUCUAUCCCCCUUUGUGUUAUUUUCCUAUAUUACAUUUACCAACGCCUUGUACAUUAUUUAUUUACUACCAGCUUUUCCACAAGGGGCAUUUACCUGGAGUUAACCUGGGAUUUCAGGAGGUCUUUGGCUAGGAAAAUAAUCGUAUCAUUAUUUUGACUAUCUUCUAACUGAAAUUGAGCAUUUCCUUUAAUUAUGAGAAGAGAUGGAAAACCCCAUGACUUAGCAGUGUCUGUGACUUGUUAUCAACAAGAAGUUACAGAUGUGUUUCCUGAUAGGAAUUGUCACAUUACAGUUGUUGACAAUACCUUGAAAUAUAAUUUGUGCUGAUUGCUUUGAAAUUGUGGUAGUCAUUAGGCACAUGCAGGUAGAUGGCGUGUGACUGCAGCUUUCCUUUUUAGAGAUCCUCACGAGGUGCAGCUGGCAGAUUAGAGAGCGGCUCUAUGCCUGGUUGUCAUUCAGUCACCAAAUCGUGUUGGUGACCCAGACACCUCAUUGCUUUUUAAUAUUUCCUACUUACAAUGUUUAUCAAUACAUUGAAGGAAUGAGUUGUUUCUAUUGUUUGUUUAAACUGAAGUAAGACUGGGCAUUCAAAUGAGAAUUCUUAAUUCUCUAUAAGGGCACAUGGCAUUUUACAACAAGGAUAGGUGUGCAGGCUAAGAAUAAAAACCAGACACAUUCAAAUACAUUUGAUGGUUGAAAUAAUUACUGAAGUAUGCUCUUUAAAAUAACAUUGCUAACACACUGCACAGUAACACCGGUCAAGCACAGUGUGGCAAGUUACUGAAUUUGAAUAUAAUUUGUUUUCUGUGAAUUCUACAUAUUUUAUUUUACACAUGUGAAAAUAUUGUUUUAAGAAAGGAUCUAUAGACUUUAUGAAACUGCCAUGGGAGUCCAUGGCGCAAGAAGAGGUUAAAAUCCCGUACUAAAACGCAAGCUCCAAGACUUUUUCUCUUAUGUUCUUUGCAAUUGCUCAUCUCUUCUGCUCAAGAGUCUACCACGUGGUGGGAUUUGAUUAAUUUCAAGAAUAACCUAAGGCCAGAUAGGACUUGGUUAUUUACAUCCUCUCCUCACCCUGGCAUUCAGCUCCUCACUUUCCCUGAGGGCCACCUUUCCUUUAUUCACCAUAGGUGGCAUAUUCAUUAAAGGAAUUGCAUCCCUUCGAAUGACUGAAGAUAACAUUCCGGAAAAUCCUGCCAACAGGUAAGGGCUUUUCUAGACACAAUGCCAAACCUUCAAUACGUCCCUGUUAGGAGGAAACAGCAUUAAAAAGCAAAAACCCCAAACUGAAACAUUCUAACAAGAAACAAACCUGACAAUAACAACUCAUGCUUUGGAGACUUCCAUGUUGUUUUUAUACCCCCCCUCCCCCAAUGAAAGAAACAUCACAUUGCAUUCUGAAUUGACAUUUUCGCCGUUUAAAGAACACUGAGACAAACUACCUUCUCAGAACAGAUCUCAAGACUUCCAAAAUGACGAAUUUUUCUCUACUGAAAAGUCCACCCUUCUGGCACCAGAGGAAGGCUGGAAAACCUCUGGCACCAGAGGAAGGCUCUUAGGGCGCCCCUUGCUCUACUAGUUGGAUUUUAAAAAAU